AGCAUAUCAAUAAGCGGAGGAAAAGAAACCAACAGGGAUUGCCCCAGUAACGGCGAGUGAAGCGGCAACAGCUCAAAUUUGAAAUCUGGCCCCUAGGGUCCGAGUUGUAAUUUGUAGAGGAUGCUUUUGGUGAGGUGCCGCCCGAGUUCCCUGGAACGGGACGCCGCAGAGGGUGAGAGCCCCGUCUGGCUGGCCACCGAGCCUCUGUAAAGCUCCUUCGACGAGUCGAGUAGUUUGGGAAUGCUGCUCAAAAUGGGAGGUAUAUGUCUUCUAAAGCUAAAUAUUGGCCAGAGACCGAUAGCGCACAAGUAGAGUGAUCGAAAGAUGAAAAGCACCUUGAAAAGAGGGUUAAACAGUACGUGAAAUUGUUGAAAGGGAAGCGCUUGUGACCAGACUUGGGCGCGGCGAAUCAUCCGGGGUUCUCCCCGGUGCACUUCGCCGCGUUCAGGCCAGCAUCAGUUCGGCGCGGGGGAAAAAGGCUUCGGGAACGUGGCUGCUCCGGCAGUGUUAUAGCCCGUUGCAUAAUACCCUGCGCUGGACUGAGGACCGCGCAUCUGCAAGGAUGCUGGCGUAAUGGUCACCAGCGACCCGUCUUGAAACACGGACCAAGGAGUCGUCUUCGUAUGCGAGUGUUCGGGUGUCAAACCCCUACGCGUAAUGAAAGUGAACGCAGGUGAGAGCUUCGGCGCAUCAUCGACCGAUCCUGAUGUUCUCGGAUGGAUUUGAGUAAGAGCAUACGGGGCCGGACCCGAAAGAAGGUGAACUAUGCCUGUAUAGGGUGAAGCCAGAGGAAACUCUGGUGGAGGCUCGCAGCGGUUCUGACGUGCAAAUCGAUCGUCAAAUAUGGGCAUGGGGGCGAAAGACUAAUCGAACCUUCUAGUAGCUGGUUUCCGCCGAAGU
rnacentral:rRNA from 1 species